AGCUCCGGUGGCCUAGUGGUUAGAGUGUCCGCCUCAGAUGCUGGAGGUCGCGGGUUCGAACCCAGGCCAAGUCA